rnacentral:rRNA from 1 species
UGGGGAAUAUUGCACAAUGGAGGGAACUCUGAUGCAGCGACGCCGCGUGAGUGAUGAAGGAAUUCGUUUCGUAAAACUCUGUUCUAUGGGAAGAAAAGGACUGUACCAUAGGAGAAAGCUCCGGCUAAAUACGUGCCAGCAGCCGCGGUAAUACGUAUGGAGCGAGCGUUGUCCGGAAUUAUUGGGCGUAAAUGGUGCGCAGGCGGCUUUACAAGUUGGAUGUGAAAUAUUGUGGCUCAACCACAAACGUGCAUCCAAAACUGCAAAGCUUGAGUUAAGGAGAGGUAAGUGGAAUUCCUGGUGUAGCGGUGGAAUGCGUAGAUAUCAGGAGGAAUACCGGUGGCGAAGGCGACUUACUGGACUUAAACUGACGCUCAGGCACGAAAGCGUGGGGAGCAAACAGG